CACGUAGGGGCCAAGCGUUGUCCGGAUUUAUUGGGCGUAAAGAGCUCGUAGGCGGUUCGACAAGUCGGGUGUGAAAACUCCGGGCUCAACCCGGAGACGCCACCCGAUACUGUCGUGACUGGAGUCCGGUAGGGGAGUGGGGAAUUCCUGGUGUAGCGGUGAAAUGCGCAGAUAUCAGGAGGAACACCGGUGGCGAAGGCGGGUCUCUGGGCAACAACUGACGCUGAGGAGCGAAAGCGUGGGGAGCGAACAGG
rnacentral:rRNA from 1 species